ACUAAUUCAAUCCUCUUUCAUC
rnacentral:snRNA from 1 species